UGGUCUCUUGCCUCGCUCAAUCCGCUGUUCCAUCAGCAGAUUUCGAGCUGGAUACAUACUAUCUCCUUCUAGGAGAUGGCUUGUACGAGACAAGAGUAAAUGCGACGAUCUUUGAGUACGGAACCGCCUGAAACCAUGUGUCGGACCUCCGUAAUUUAUCUGUCGGGACAUAA
rnacentral:snoRNA from 1 species